GACGAACGCUGGCGGCGUGCUUAACACAUGCAAGUCGAACGGAAAGGCCCUGCUUUUGUGGGGUGCUCGAGUGGCGAACGGGUGAGUAACACGAGAGUAACCUGCCCUUGACUUUGGGAUAACUUCAGGAAACUGGGGCUAAUACCGGAUAGGAGCUCCUGCUGCAUGGUGGGGGUUGGAAAGUUUCGGCGGUUGGGGAUGGACUCGCGGCUUAUCAGCUUGUUGGUGGGGUAGUGGCUUACCAAGGCUUUGACGGGUAGCCGGCCUGAGAGGGUGACCGGCCACAUUGGGACUGAGAGACGGACCAGACUCCUACGGGAGGCAGCAGUGGGGAAUAUUGCACAAUGGGCGGAAGCCUGAUGCAGCAACGCCGCGUGCGGGAUGACGGCCUUCGGGUUGUAAACCGCUUUCGCAUGUGACGAAGCGUGAGUGACGGUAAUGGGUAAAGAAGCACCGGCUAACUACGUG
rnacentral:rRNA from 1 species